CAGUAGCCGCGGUAAUACAGAGGGUGCGAGCGUUAAUCGGAUUUACUGGGCGUAAAGCGUGCGUAGGCGGCUUUUUAAGUCUGAUGUGAAAUCCCUGAGCUUAACUUAGGAAUUGCAUUCGAUACUGGGAAGCUAGAGUAUGGGAGAGGAUGGUAGAAUUCCAGGUGUAGCGGUGAAAUGCGUAGAGAUCUGGAGGAAUACCGAUGGCGAAGGCAGCCAUCUGGCCUAAUACUGACGCUGAGGUACGAAAGCAUGGGGAGCAAACAGGAUUAGAUACCCGCGUAGUCCCUGUCUCUUAUAC
rnacentral:rRNA from 1 species